ACUCUUGAUAGGUUUUCCGCGGGGUUGGAGGAGGCCGUGGUUAUCCGGCAAAUUGAUGUCUGGUGACUCUUUCACUUCUCGAAUAGGUCGGUUUGGACGUACCUCUACUGAUGAUAUGGCAGCGUGUUUUUGUGUUUCGAUAGGAAGCUAGCCCUGUACUUAGAGUUGCGAAGGGUACCAUACCUGCCUUGGCAAAAUACCCAGGAAUGAUAAAGUUACUUCUCGGCGAAUUGAAAAAUUCAAUUUCAACAAUCAUUUAACACAUUUUUUUAUUAUUCUCUUUCGAUACAAUAUUUUGUAUUUUUUAUAUUUUCUUUUUCGCCAAUUAUUUAUAAUGUAAGGUAAACUAUUCUUUCUCAACUCUCGGAUUAUUCUCAGCUCAAAAAUUUUUCAACCAUAAGAUGAUGAUGAUGAUAAUGGUGUCUUCAUUAUCAUCGCUAUUAUCAUUAUUAUUCAUCAUUAUCACCAUUAUUAAACUUUUUAUAAUUUCUGUGUGAGUUUUCAUAAUCAUAUUGAUAUUUUGUCAGUCUCAGUUGUCAUACGUCUCAUCUCUAACUGUAUAGCCAUAAGUUACAUUUAUCUGUCAGAUGGAAGACAAACAAAGUGGCCCAACAAAUGCUGAGGUACCAAAAGAUCAACUGGAAAGCAAAGAUUCAUGUGGUGAUGAAGUACAGUCUGAUGGAGAUGGUGAAGAAAAGCCAGCAGAAGGGAAUGGCUUUGUAACACAGUUAGCAGACAGUCAGUCUUUAAGUUCAGAAGAUUCAUCCAAGAAUGAUGGUUUGAGGAGCAAAAUCCCUCGUGUCAACUGUCCAGAGCACAUUAUAUUAUGUUUGGAUGUAUCAUCAGAGAUGAAGUCAACAUCAUUUCAAAAUAAAAGUGUUUCAGAUAGGACAGCAUUUCAGCUGGUCCAAAGGGCAGGAGAAAUCUUUGUGAAGACCAAGUCAAAACUGAAUGCACAGCACAAGUUUUGUGUUGUUGGCCUGGAUGAUAUUCCAACUUUUCAGAAUGAUUUCACCAGUGAUGUGGUAAAUAUCUGCAGCAUGCUAAACCUUCUUCAUCCAGUAGAUGAACUUUCAACAGAUGGGGAAUAUGACAUGGCAAAGUUAUUUGAAGCGAUACAACAAAAUGUUACUUUACCACAUGUAGAAGACAUAUCACUGCCUCCUCCAUAUGUUGUGCGACUUAUUAUAGUGUAUGGACGAUCUUACUGCAUACCAGUCAUGUCUACAAGAGCAAAGGAGAUAUUUUCACAACUGUCUGCCUGCCCAUAUUUCUUUCUUGAUGUUCUUUAUGUUCAUGAGCUUCCAUCUGAAAUGAAUCUGUGUAAAGAAUACAAAAAGAGGAACUUAAGAUUGAAACAAUAGAUCUCUAAACAGACUGAAAUGGAGCUGGAGUAAAGUUGUUGUCACGGAGGUUGAUGAAGCAACAAGUUUAUUGCUCCACAAAGGAAAGCAGAACUUGACGCAACUGACGAGCAAUGUUUGCAGGAACACUUUGUCUUCUGUACUUACACUGUGUGGAAGCGGUUUACUUUCAUCCCGUCUCUGCAAGAAUCUACAAGUUAUUUCAUGAAAUAGUUAGUCCGCCAUUAUUAUUUUUUAUUUAUUUUUUUUUUUUAGUUGCAUUAAUUUCCGGCCGGCUCCUCUAUUGUAGUUUAUGUAUUAACCAUAGUGUGCAGUUCGCCUGGAGGCUGUUUCCAAAAAUCUUUCACACAACAAUCGUUGGUUACGCCAAAUGAUAGCUUUGUUCUGUAUUGCGUCGUUCGCGCCCUAAUGACGAUUUCGUAAAGGCCUCCAGGGGGUGCUUAAUUGCACUCAGUAGUCCUUUAAAGAGUAACAACGACAUUAAGUUACGCUGAAGGUUCUCAUGAUGAAAACUUCACUAUCUAAACAUGAAAAGAUGAUGGCCUCCAAGAGUUGGAGAAUGGCAAACGCUUCUAAUUCUCGAGAAGAGCAGAAUUUACAGAAGGAAAAGCAGCGUUUGAUGAAACAGUAUGAAGCAGAAACAUGUCAGCUUAAAGCUGCACAAAAUCGAUUUGAAAAUCAAUACAGAAAAAAAAGUACAACAGAAAAGAAGACAUCGCUUGUGUUACCACCUCUGCAGGAGAAGAACAGUCAUCCUCUCAAGGGGCAAGACGGUAGAAAAGGCUCUUGUGGGAAUUCUGUUUCUCUCCCUUCUCUACCACGCUUGGCGGACUCGUUCUCUGUAAUUGCUGCUGUUCCUAGACCAAGAUCAGUUAGUGUCAGUAGUGAAGCAGAUAGUCACUCUGCUUCAUUAAUAGUCAGUGAUUCACAUGAGGGAAUUGCUUCUACACAGCACCACCGGCGCAGUAAGUCUUAUGCUGGACUACCAAAUGUAAUAAAAUAAUCGGGCCACUUUCAUCUGUCCCAAGCUGCAUUCAUGUGUAACUAUUUGCAUUGGAAACUCAGCUAGUGAUCCUCUUUUCCACCAAGCAGAGAAGUAAAAGUUAAGAAAAUUGAGGGAUCAUGGGCAAGUUGUUGUCAUGAAGAGCCUCAGAAAUGAUGUUGUGCGCAAAAGUAUUAAGUUGAGAGUCCCGUGUAAACUGAUUGAAGAAGUAAACAACAUGACGUAUAGCCUGCGGCGAAGUUGCGUAGUCAGCAAAGAUAUUCAUGGCUAAAACUUACACACGUGUCUGAAAUUUUUUACUCCACUUAAUGAAGGUUUGGACGAGGGCUGCUCGAUUUUGCAUCAUUUUGACUGGCCAUGCGAUAGUCGAAAUUGAAAGUCACUCAUUUCGACUCAUUUCUGUCGCAAGCGAGCAAAAUGAAAUAGAAGUAAUAAGAAAAGAUAAUGAUUAUAAUAAAAAAAAUUACAAUAAUGACAAAUAAAGAUCUUGAUAAGAAAA